UAAGGAGUGCCUGAAUGGUUAGGGAGCCGGCUGUAAACCGGUGCGUAAGCAAUGUAGGUUCGAAUCCUACCUCCUUCA